ACAGAGUUAUCUAACUCCCAAACCCAUGUGAACUUACCAUUGUUGCCUCGGCAGAACCUACCCGGUACCUACCCUGUAACGACCUACCCUGUAGCGAGUUACCCGGGAACGGCCUACCCUGUAGCGCGCUGCCGGUGGACUUCUAAACUCUUGUUAUUUAUUGUAAUCUGAGCGUCUUAUUUUAAUAAGUCAAAACUUUCAACAACGGAUCUCUUGGUUCUGGCAUCGAUGAAGAACGCAGCGAAAUGCGAUACGUAAUGUGAAUUGCAGAAUUCAGUGAAUCAUCGAAUCUUUGAACGCACAUUGCGCCCAUUAGUAUUCUAGUGGGCAUGCCUGUUCGAGCGUCAUUUCAACCCUUAAGCCUAGCUUAGUGUUGGGAGUCUACUGUAUUGUAGCUCCCCAAAUCCAACGGCGGAUCUGUGGUAUCCUCUGAGCGUAGUAAUUUUUUUCUCGCUUUGGCUAGGUGCUGCAGCUCUCAGCCGCUAAACCCCCCAAUUUUUUAAUGG
rnacentral:misc_RNA from 1 species